AGGGACCGGGAGGGGAGCGGGGACAGCGCGGGGUGAGGCGUUGCGCCUCUCAUCGGGCCCCGCCGCCAGCGUGAGGCUCCGGCUCCGCUGAUCCCAGAGGGAUGUAGGAAGCUGCCGGGAAGGAGGAGGUUCCCACUUCAUGAUCCCAGAGGGAUGUAGGAGGCUGCUGGGAAGGAGGAGGUUCCCAUUCGGUGAUCCCAGAGGGAUGUAGGAAGCUGCCGGGAAGGAGGAGGUUCCCAUUCGGUGAUCCCAGAGGGAUGUAGGAAGCUGCCGGGAAGGAGGAGGUUCCCAUUCAGUGAUCCCAGAGGGAUGUAGGAAGCUGCCGGGAAGGAGGAGGUGGGUUCCACGGUGCCGUCCUGUGGGGUUUGUGUCCCCCAUUCCUCCCUUGUCAUCAUAAUUAGCCUAAUUCUGUGUAAUUACCUCAGCCAAACCCCUUCAGUCCCCAAACAAGAGUCUCUGGGGGAUGAAAUCCCACUGGAAAGUGGCCACGUGGGGCCGUGCCCAGGCUGGUUCAUGCUCCUUGGGACAGGUUGAGGUGACACCGUGGUGCCAAGGCCUUGCUCCCUGGCUGUUCCCUUGUCACCCCUCACUCUGGGUGCUGUCCUGGGGGGGUUGUGUCCCCCACUCCCCCCUUGUCAUCGUAAUUAUCUAAUUCUGUGUAAUUGGUUCUCCUAAACCCCACCGCAAAGGCUUUGUCCCCUCGUUCACCACCAGAGGAGUCUCUGAGGGCUUCAGUCCCAGGGGAGAGCUGGGACCUGGGGGCACAGGGACCCCCCCAGCCCCGGCCCUUCAUCCCGGGGGGGUUUCUUCAUUCCUUGGGGCAAGCCUUCCAGCGUGGGGGGGCCUGGGGUGGCCCCCACCAUUCCUACAGCGCUUGC